ACAUACGACCAUAGGACGAUGACAAUUGGGCUUCCCGUCCGCUCAGCCUUACACAAGCAUCGUACCGGUCGAGUAGUAGUUAAGUGGGUGACCAUUAGCGAAUUCCGACUGUUGUAUGUU
rfam:Phaeosphaeria nodorum SN15 scaffold_4, whole genome shotgun sequence.